UAUGCACGCUGGCGGCGUGCUUAACACAUGCAAGUCGAACGGAAAGGCCCAAGCUUGCUUGGGUACUCGAGUGGCGAACGGGUGAGUAACACGUGGGUGAUCUGCCCUGCACUUCGGGAUAAGCCUGGGAAACUGGGUCUAAUACCGGCUAGGACCACUUCUUGGAUGUUGUGGUGGAAAGUUUUUUCGGUGUGGGAUGAGCUCGCGGCCUAUCAGCUUGUUGGUGGGGUAAUGGCAUACCAAGGCGUCGACGGGUAGCCGGCCUGAGAGGGUGUACGUCCACAUUGGGACUGAGAUACGGCCCAGACUCCUACGGGAGGCAGCAGUGGGGAAUAUUGCACUAGGGGCGCAAGCCUGAUGCAGCUACGCCGCUUGGGGGUGGACGGCCUUCGGGUUGUAAACUCCUUUCGCUAGGGACGAAGCUUUUUGUGACGGUACCUGGAGAAGAAGCACCGGCUAACUACGUG
rnacentral:rRNA from 1 species